GCGGGCGUGGUGGAACCGGUAGACACACCAGACUUAAAAUCUGAGGGGCCUUGCCCGUGCGGGUUCGAGUCCCGCCGCCCGCACCA
rnacentral:tRNA from 1 species